rnacentral:piRNA from 1 species
UCUGUGACACAGCCGAGAGCAAAGACCGC